UGGGAAAAGCCACGCUCCAAACAACCACAGCUGAAGGGCCUUCAGAGGGUGAGCUGUGAGGAGCCUGGAUGUGGGGAGUCUCCAUGUUCCUGGGUGCUCAGAACCACCUUACUCAGAGCCAGAGCAGCGGAAGCCCUGCCCCCACCACACCUUCCCACGCCAGAGCAGCUACAGAAACUGAGGCAGGGUGUGCACAGCAGGGCUAGGGUGGUGGCUACAAUUCAACACACUUUAUUGCAUAAAUAGCCCAUCCCUAAUUGGUACCUCUGAGUGGAUAUAACUUUCACUGCAGUGAAAGUUUGGUUUGGUUUUUUUUUUUUUUUCCAAGACAGUUUCUCUGUGUAGCCCUGCCUGUUCUGGAACUUGCUCUAUAGAUCAGGCCUUGAAUUCAGAGAUCCAUCUGCCUCUGCUUCCCAAGUGCUGGUAUUAAAGGUGUGUACCACCACCAUUUGGCACACAAUGAAGGUAUUCUAAGACUAGGGUGGCUCUCACCAGGUCUUCA
rnacentral:lncRNA from 1 species